GGGCAGGGUCAAGCGGCCAUUGAGUUGCCUUGAAUUGAGUCGAAGCCUUAAAGCAAAACCCUUCGUCAUUUCCUUGAUGGGAGUCGGUGCUUCUUGGGCCCCCCGGUAGCCUUUACUCCAGCUUGCCAACCUCCAGGUGGGGCCUGGAGAUCUCCCGGAAUUCCAAUUGAUCUUCAAGCAACAGGGCUUAGUUCCCCUGGAGGAAAUGGUGGCUUCGGAGGGGGGACUCCUCUGAGGUCUGUUCCCAGACGUCGCCCUCUACCGGCCUUCCCCCAGAAUUCCCCAAGGCGGAGUUCGCGACCCUUCGUGCAGAAAUCCGGCCUGGGGGGGAAGAGGCCUCGAGGGUGACUAAAUGAGCAACACCAGCGCACCGUCAGAGAACUGCAAAGAGCAGGAGAAAGAAGAGGAGGAAGUAGCUAUUGGGCCAGUGCAGGGCCUACAGGUGCCUGAUGAAGGAUGCAUUCCUCCCACUGUAACGCCGUCGGCAUCGGAAGGGAAGUCGGAGCCGCCGCCCCCUACUCACUGUCAAGCCUGGCUCUUGGACAUGCUGGAUGAUGUACGCUAUCUCAUCUCCUGCACCAAUUGGUAUUAGACUGAUUCCUCUGGACCCCCAGCUGCCUUCACUGAGAUUCUCACACCACCGAUCAAAUCCCUGCCCGGUCUCAUCUGCUGAGAAGGACUGCAGUGCCUGCAGUGAAGAACAAGGGGGGCUUUCCUAGCCAGCCCCAUCUCUGUCUCUCAAUAAAAGCCUGGGAAGGAAAUAGCCCCUACAGCUUGGUCUGAUGGCUUCUGCUCUCAAGGCAUUUUCUUUGGCACUUGCACCUUAUUGCUGCUUUACACAAUUCACACCAGCAUGGCAUUUCCCACCAUAUGCGGUGUAACCUCCUACAAAGCUUUGAGUAACGACACCAUUUAUCUGGUCCUCCUGGUUGUAUGGAAUAUGCUUCUAAACUAGGCAGGAAAGAACAAAACAAGUGAGAUGGUGGCCAUAGGUAGAGUGCUUACUAGAGAUGGGUACAAACCGAAGAACAAACCAAAGUUUGUCACAAACCAAGCCAUUUUUCUGACAAACCACAACAAACUGUUAUGAUUUUAGAGUGGUACAUUUUUCGAUUCGUCACUGCAUACAGCUUGGCGCCAAUCAAUCAGUUUCCUAGGCAACAGUGGGAGGGGCUUUCUGCAGACCUGCUGCCCCAGAAGUGACGUUUUCAUGAACCAAAUGAACCGGUUUGUGAACCAGGCAAUUUUAUGCCGAUUCAUGGUUCGUGAAACGCGACGAACCACAAACCGCAACAAACCGCCAUUUUUCCAGUUCGUGCCCAUCUCUAGUGCCUACCCAUAUUCGUGUCCAGUUUGUGCCCAUCUCUAGUGCUUACCCGUAUUCAUGUUCCAUGCCAUUCCUGUCUGAGAAAAACAGGAUCUGAGUCCAGUGGCAUCUUAGAGACCAACAAGAUUUUCAGGGUAUAAGCUCUUGAGAGUCAAAGCUCCCUUCAGAGACAGCCGGACAGUACCUAUCAAGGUCAGGACUGUCUUUGUCUACUCUGACUGACAGAGGCUCCUCAGUGUCUCAGGCACAGAUCUUACACAUUACUUAUGACCUGACACCGUUAAACGAGAGAUGCCAGAGAUUGAACCUACCACUUCCUGCGUGCCAUUAAGCCUGACCCUGUUCCUGUUUGAAUACGUGAAUCUGCUUUAUACCACACAUGAAGCUGCUCUAUAGCUUCAUGUGUGGUAGACCUUUGGACCAUCAAGGUCGGUAUUCUCAAUCUCUACUCAAGCAGGCAGUGGCUUUGUCUGUGCUGAAACUUGUCACUUGCACUGCAGUAAUCUAGGGCCAAAUAAAUUUUCCAUCAGCAGAACAAAA